UGAGAAACGUGUAGCACACUUGGUUUGAGAUGUCGAGCUGCAGUGGUACUUCUUUACCUUCUGGCUUCAGUUCUACCACAGGAUCACGUAAAAGGCAACGUACUCCAGUACAGACCACGCCUGGAUUGAAACCAAACCUGAUUGGUUGUUGACUGUCACGUACGGGGUUACUCCUAGCCGGAUAAGAGCCAAAGUGAGGAAAGUGACUUUGCGCGUCUGUGGGAUUCUGUCCAAGAGAACAAUCCGUGAUGAAGAGUUGUGCAGGGUUGGCCAUGGAGCUGCGACUGGUCGUCCUCUGCACAUUGUUGACUCCUCUACUUGCUGCCUCUGUGAAACAGCGGGUGGAGGAAACACAGCUGUGCAAAACCGACCAGGACUGUCCCCAGGAUGAACGCUGUCUUGUUACCGGUGUAGAGGGUGUCUGCAAAUCGUACAACAAAUCUGAGAAAUCGCUUCCUUCUAACGACCUUAAGCCCGACCCCCGUAAAGCUAAGUUUAUUAGACAAAUCCCAGCCUAUCCCUACCCAUACCCCUCCUCACACCCCUCCCCAAUCCCCUCUCAAUACCCCUCUGCAUACCCCUCCCCAUACCCCUCUCCGUACCCCUCCCCAUAUCCCUCCUCAUACC